CGAUCGCGAACUGCGAUCGAAUCAUCUAGCUCACAUCGUUUACGGCUGGGACUACCCGGGUAUUUAGUGCGCAGGCCUUUGCCUGCUGCAUAUCUAAUCCGGUUCGCUCCCCCAGCUUUCACCCCUCACCGUCGAGCGCGUUCUGGCGGACCGCCUUCGCCACUGGUGGUCUUCCGCGGAUCAAAGGAUUUUACCCCUACACGCGGAGUACCGUCCGCCUCUCCCGCCUCCUAGUCCCACAGUAUCCUCUGCAGACCAGCCGUUGAGCGACUGGAUUUAACAGAGGACUUACGGAACCGGCU
rnacentral:rRNA from 1 species